rnacentral:rRNA from 1 species
UACGUAGGGUGCAAGCGUUAAUCGGAAUUACUGGGCGUAAAGCGUGCGCAGGCGGUUCUUUAAGACAGAUGUGAAAUCCCCGGGCUCAACCUGGGAACUGCAUUUGUGACUGUAGAGCUGGAGUGCGGCAGAGGGGGAUGGAAUUCCGCGUGUAGCAGUGAAAUGCGUAGAGAUGUGGAGGAACACCGAUGGCGAAGGCAGCCCCCUGGGCUGAGAUUGACGCUCAGGCACGAAAGCGUGGGGAGCAAACAGG